CCUACGGGAGGCAGCAGUGAGGAAUAUUGGUCAAUGGACGAGAGUCUGAACCAGCCAAGUAGCGUGAAGGAUGACUGCCCUAUGGGUUGUAAACUUCUUUUAUAUGGGAAUAAAAUGUUCCACGUGUGGGAUUUUGUAUGUACCAUAUGAAUAAGGAUCGGCUAACUCCGUGCCAGCAGCCGCGGUAAUACGGAGGAUCCGAGCGUUAUCCGGAUUUAUUGGGUUUAAAGGGAGCGUAGGUGGAUUGUUAAGUCAGUUGUGAAAGUUUGCGGCUCAACCGUAAAAUUGCAGUUGAAACUGGCAGUCUUGAGUACAGUAGAGGUGGGCGGAACUCGUGGUGUAGCGGUGAAAGGCUUAGAUAUCACGAAGAACUCCGAUUGCGAAGGCAGCUCACUGGACUGCAACUGACACUGAGGCUCGAAAGUGUGGGUAUCAAACAGGAUUAGAUACCCGAGUAGUC
rnacentral:rRNA from 1 species